AGUGAACGCUGGCGGUAGGCCUAACACAUGCAAGUCGAACGGCAGCACAGUAAGAGCUUGCUCUUACGGGUGGCGAGUGGCGGACGGGUGAGGAGUACAUCGGAAUCUACUUUUUCGUGGGGGAUAACGUAGGGAAACUUACGCUAAUACCGCAUACGACCUACGGGUGAAAGCAGGGGAUCUUCGGACCUUGCGCGAUUGAAUGAGCCGAUGUCGGAUUAGCUAGUUGGCGGGGUAAAGGCCCACCAAGGCGACGAUCCGUAGCUGGUCUGAGAGGAUGAUCAGCCACACUGGAACUGAGACACGGUCCAGACUCCUACGGGAGGCAGCAGUGGGGAAUAUUGGACAAUGGGCGCAAGCCUGAUCCAGCCAUACCGCGUGGGUGAAGAAGGCGUUCGGGUUGGAAAGCCCUUUUGUUGGGAAAGAAAAGCAGCAGGUUAAUACCCCGCUGUUCUGACGGUACCCAAAGAAUAAGCACCGGCUAACUUCGUG
rnacentral:rRNA from 1 species